GCCUCUGCUGCUGCCUCAGGACAGAGAACAGAGCUGAGUUACCAGCAGGUUCUGCCGCCCGCCCCAGGGGAGACCUUGAGAGAUUUGCAGGAACUUGGCAUCUCCUGAGUCGCCAGAGAGAAGCUGCCUUGUUGUACUGGAUGCUGAGAAGGGGGCACUGGGUGGCUUCCCUGGGCAAGCUGAUUGCUGAGCUGCACAGGCACUUGCAUUCUCUGGGUUGUUCCCUUGUUUCAUUCCUCCCCUUCCCGGACAAUAUUUGAACAAGACGUAUUUUACUCAAGGUCUCAUGGGUUGCGGGGUCCCACGACAUCACCUCAUAGAUGCAGUGGAUGGUUUGUUCCCAAUUCAGGCUUGUUUCCAGGAAGAAACCCUGACAGAAAUUCAGAAGAAUGGGAGCUGCAUUCUGUUAGGACGUAAAUACAUGAAAUGCGUGUCUCAGGACCUUCUAGAAGAAUGAGCUGGGACCCACUUUCCAAGUCCUGCUGGAACCAGAGACUGAGAAAAUAAAAAGACCCUGGAGGACAAGUGUAGUGCAUUGAGGUCUAUGAAAGCCACAAAGGAAGCAAAAUUCAAACAGCUGAAGGAGAAAGCACAUAACCUGGAAGAAUUCUAUGAACAAAGAAAAGUGCCUACAAAAAAGAAGCUGAAAAUGACACUGAACUGGUGGCAAAGAAGAAUCAGCUGGUAGCUGCUGAUCGCAGUUCAUGAGAAGAAUGCUCAGGACAACGAGAUCAAGACUCAGAUGUGGGACAGGGAGAUGGCAGAGCAGGGCAGGGACAUUGCCUACUUGAAAUACAGGACUGGACAGGAUGGAAGCAAAGAGGCUGCCUGAGGGAUACAUGAGGCAGAAACCAAUGGCUGCAAGACCAGAGAUGUAGAACCCUCCCAGGAGAGGGCAGUCUGGAUCCUGGGGACCUCCUCCGUUAACUGGAUGAUUCUGCAUGCCCUACCUUAGAGAUGCUCCACCCCCAUGGACUAUUAGGCACGUCCACCUCCUGAACCCUGCUGGCCCUGGGGCCACCCAGAACCCCUCCACCUGCAACACUUGGUAAGAUGAUCUGAGCACUAGGAGGUGACUUGUAAAACACACUCACCUUAUUUUUGUUGCUGUUAGGUCUUGGGCCAAGGUGCAGAGGCGGUACCACAGACAAUUGUGAUGCAAGGGGGAUGUGUCUGCUGCCAUUACCACAUUCCUCAAGUUUCUCAGGAUCUCAUCUUUGUCAUUUCCCCCACCAUGUGUCCAGAAGCAGGUGUCACACCCAAGAGUGACAUCAACACUGGCUCUGCCAAAACUGCCGAGAAGCACAAAGCUAUUUUGUAUGCAAGAGGGCCUGGUCCUUUCCCAGGAUCACCUUGCAGGCUGUACCCCAUGGACCACCCUUCACCACCAGUCAUGGGCUAUAGGCCACAUCCCCCUCCUCCAUCAGCUCCUCCACCUACUCUAUUUGUUAAGAUGACCUUAACUGGAUGAGUGGCUGGUAAAGUAUAUUCAUCUUCUUCA